GAUGAACGCUGGCGGCGUGCCUAAUACAUGCAAGUCGAACGAAACUUCUUUAUCACCGAGUGCUUGCACUCACCGAUAAAGAGUUGAGUGGCGAACGGGUGAGUAACACGUGGGCAACCUGCCCAAAAGAGGGGGAUAACACUUGGAAACAGGUGCUAAUACCGCAUAACCAUAGUUACCGCAUGGUAACUAUGUAAAAGGUGGCUAUACUACCGCUUUUGGAUGGGCCCGCGGCGCAUUAGCUAGUUGGUAGGGUAAAGGCUUACCAAGGCAAUGAUGCGGAGCCGAAGUGAGAGGUUGAUCGGCCACAUUGGGACUGAGACACGGCCCAAACUCCUACGGGAGGCAGCAGUAGGGAAUCUUCCACAAUGGGCGAAAGCCUGAUGGAGCAACGCCGCGUGGGUGAAGAAGGUCUUCGGAUCGUAAAACCCUGUUGUUAGAGAAGAAAGUGCGUGAGAGUAACUGUUCACGUUUCGACGGUAUCUAAACAGAAAGCCACGGCUAACUACGUG
rnacentral:rRNA from 1 species